rnacentral:misc_RNA from 1 species
GAUGAAGAACGUAGCGAAAUGCGAUAAGUAAUGCGAAUUGCAGAUCUCCGUGAGUCAUUGAAUCUUUGUACGCACAUUGCGCCCUCGGGUAUUCCCGAGGGCAUGCCUGUCCGAGCGUCAUUAUCCAACCAUCAAGCUCGGCUUGCGGUUGAGCCCCGCACCGUCCCCGGGACGGUGGGCUCGAAACAUGUUGGGCGCCCGUGAGGUUGUCGGUGCAGCGAGCUCUCGAGCACGUGCCGGGCAACCGCUCUGGGCGUCGGCCAGCCCCCCCAUUUUCUCAGGUUGACCUCGGAUCAGGUAGGAAUACCCGCUGAACUUAAGCAUAUCAAUAAGCGGAGGA